rnacentral:rRNA from 1 species
UACGUAGGUGGCAAGCGUUGUCCGGAUUACUGGGCGUAAAGAGCGCGCAGGCGGUCGAUUUAGUCGCGUGUGAAAGCCCCCGGCUCAACUGGGGAGGGUCACGCGAUACUGAUCGACUCGAAGGCAGGAGAGGGUAGUGGAAUUCCCGGUGUAGUGGUGAAAUGCGUAGAUAUCGGGGAGGAACACCAGUGGCGAAGGCGACUACCUG